CGUCACCGGGGACGCCGUCGGCGAACGUCAGGCGGAUCCGCACGCCGAGCGCGCUGACAUCGAGCGGAGCGUACCGGGUCCCCUCCGGUGCGGACGCC
rnacentral:tRNA from 1 species